rnacentral:tRNA from 1 species
GGGACUUUAGUUUAAAGAAAACAUUAAUUUUGCUAAUUAAAAUUAUAAGAUCAACCCUUAUAACUUCCA